rnacentral:tRNA from 1 species
AACCAUGUGGCCUAAUGGACAAGGUGUCUGAGUUUGGAUCAGAAGAUUGAGGGUUAGACUCACUUCAUGGUUG